AUGGCCGACGUCCCCGACGAAUCCGCCACCCAAACCCAGGCCCGCGGGUGCAGCCUGUAUCCCUUCUCGUUCCCUUCCCAGCCGCCGGACAUCAGGAACUGGUUCUCGAGUUACCAGUACGAGUCGCCGGAGGUGCCGGAGCUGGCUGUUGACCCUCCUGCCGUCGACAACGGCAGCGAGACCCAAGACCCGUUGGAGUUCCGGGUGGCUGGGCAUUCAUUUCUGAAGCAAGCCCCUCGGGAUGGCAGUACUGAUUUGAAGGGGGGCUGUUUUGGGAGCCAAGCUGAACCUGUUGAGGUUUCUGCCAGAGAAGAUAUCCUUCCGAUUUGUAGGAGCACGGUGGAAAAGGGCAUGAAAAGGAAGCAAAGCCUGCGGGGGCUGUUUGGGUCAGGUUUUCUGGACGACCAUGAAGAAGGUAUUCAAACUGAAAGUCAGGUUGUGUCGCCUGUGCAGAGAAGUGCAGUGGAUCCUCCGUGGAGCCGCAACUGGGUAGGCUUACAGAAUACAAAGCGCAGCCAUGAAGGCAUGGUGGAAUACAGCGAGCUGCCGACUGAUAGUGAGAGCACUUGUAUAGCUGAAACUCAAACUGAAAGUCGAGUGGUGUUGCCUGUGCUGAGAAGUGCAGUGGAUCCUCCAUGGGACUGCAACUGGAUAGGCUUAAGGAAUGGAAAGCGCAGCCAUGAAGGCAUAGUUGAAUACAGCGAGCUGGAUAGUGAGAGUACUUGUAUAGCUGAAACACAAGAAAACCCAGCAGGAGGUUUGGAGAUUGACCACAGAAAACUUCCAGUUAAUUGCCGUGGUACUAGUUUAGCUGGUAUUGAAGAAGGUUUCCUAGAAGAUGAAAUUGAACACUGCAACCUGCCAGUUGAUUCUUGCAGUAAAGGUCCAUCAGAUGCUGAGAAAACUAAGCAAAGUCUACGAGGGUUGUUUGGAGCAGGUUCUUUAGACAACCAUGAUGAAGCUCCUCAAACUGAAAGUCAGGCAGUGUCGCCUGUGCUGAGAAGUGCAGUGGAUCCUCAUUGGAACUGCAACUGGAUAGGCUUACAGAAUAGAAAGCGCAGCCAUGAAGGCGCAAUUGACGACAGCGAGUUGCGGACGGAUAGUGAGAGCACUUGUAUAGCUGAAACUCAAGUAAAUCCCCCAGGAGGUCAGCAGACCAACUACAGCAAACAGCCAGUUAAUUGUGGUGGUACUAGUUUAGCAGCAGAUACUAGCCUAGAAGAUGGCAUUGAACAUAGCAACCUGCCGGAUAAUUUUCCUAGUAAAGGCCUAGCGGGUAGUGAGAAGCCUAAGCGAAGUCUGCGAAAAUUGUUUGGAGCAGGUUUUCUCAAGGAUUGUGAUGAAGCUAAUGAAUCUGAAACUCGGGUGGUGUCGGCUGUACAGAGAAAUGCAGUGCAGCCUCUGUCAAAUUGCAAUGCUGCAGGCUUGCCUCACAUCGAACAUAUCCAUGAAGGCGCAGUCGGAUACAGUGAGCUACCUGCAGAUCACGAUGUCAUCAGUAUAGCUGAAACUCGAGAAAAUCCCCCAGCAGGUCAGGUGAUCGAACACAACAAACUGCCCGUUAACUGUGGUAGUAUGAGUUUAGCAGCAGAUACUGAAGAAGGUUUCCUAGAAGAUGGCAUUGAACACAGCAAACUACCAGUCAAUUCCCAUAGUAAAGUCAUAGCUGAUACUGAUGAAACUGGCAUCGAACACCGCACACUCACCGUUAGUUCUGGUGGUAUUGGUUCAGCUGUCACAGACGAAAGCUUUCCUGGAGAUGAAAUCAGCCGAAGCAAGCGUAAACUGGAGCAUAAGAAAACAGAAGAAACAGCUGCGGCGGAUGGUUUCGUUGCAAUCAGGACAAAGGUGAAGCCAGCUGAGGAUUGCAGGACAAACAAGAUUCCCAAGGUCUCAACAGGAAGAGAGAACACAACAUUGCAAGAGAACCGCUGCAUUUCGGGGACUACUCCUUUGGGCCAAGGUAGCACUAGAAGCCCCUUGUCAGAUAGGACCAAUAUUUCAGAAGUUGCAGGAGCUCCAUCACAGGAGAUCAGCGGCAAAUGGAAGCACCCUCGCAAAGGCAAGCCCUCCGUUGGCCCUCCGAUGAUACAGCUGCGGUUGGAACAAUGGGUGCGCCGAGUGUAA
rnacentral:rRNA from 1 species